rnacentral:lncRNA from 1 species
GGACCUAACCUGCACCUAAAAUUGAAUCCUGACAAUGUCAAAGUGGCCAGACUAGGGUCCAGUUUUCUGAAACCUAGAUUGUCUCUAGAAGCCCACUUUGCUGAUGACCUGGAUCCGUAAUCACCAAUCCAAACCGUUAAAGAGUCCUAGGUCCGCAAUAUCAUACAACCGCCCAAAUCAUGUUCUCCUUGCUCUGCAAAAAAUGUUAUUAUAUCAUAAACCCAACCCA